CAGUAGCCGCGGGAAUACGAAGGUCCCAAGCGUUGUUCGGAAUCACUGGGCGUAAAGGGAGCGUAGGCGGCGUGGUAAGUCAGAUGUGAAAUCCCGGGGCUCAACCCCGGAACUGCAUCCGAUACUGCCAUGCUUGAGGGUUGGAGAGGUAGCUGGAAUUCUCGGUGUAGCAGUGAAAUGCGUGGAUAUCGAGAGGAACACUCGUGGCGAAGGCGGGCUACUGGACAACAUCUGACGCUGAGGCUCGAAGGCUAGGGUAGCGAAAGGGAUUAGAUACCCCCGUAGUCCCUGUCUCUUAUAC
rnacentral:rRNA from 1 species